rnacentral:lncRNA from 1 species
UGGUCAGCACGGAGAGCUGGCUGCCUGCACCCAACCCUGCAGACCUACGGGGAGAAAAACACUGCUCCCAAGAGGGAGCGGGACAGGGGAACGGGGCCGGCAGGCAAACACUCGCCGUGACCUCUGGCAGGCCCAAAGCUCGCAGCGGGGCCUCCCGGUGCGUGCCCAGGCACCCAGCGGGGCCACAGGGCCGGGGCUGGCGCCGACACUGCAGCAGCACGGGGCGACGGGGCAGGGGGGAAAACACGGAUAUAUAUUAAAAAUAAUACCAAUAUGUUAAAAAUAGAGAGGUAUACACUUAAAAUAAUAAUAGUAGGUUAAAAAUAUAGAUACAUACAUUAAAAAUGAUAGGUUAAAAAUAUAGAUAGACGUUACAAAUAAAUAUAAUAUGUUAAAAUAUACAGGUGUACGUUAAAAAUAACAAUAUAUGUUAAAAAUAGUAAUGUAUAUUGAAGAUGAUAUAAAAUUAUGAGUGAACACACAGCAGGAACGCACGGGGCGGCAGCACACGGCUGCGGAGCGGGCCGGCCGCCCUUCCCCGGGCGGGUUUUCCCGCUGGAGCCCCGUUCCCCCACCGCCGCCACCCCGAAGCGUGCCCCGGCCGCUGCCGCCCUGCCCUGCCCUGCCCUGCCCCGGCCCCUGGAGGGCCGCGGAGGCGGCGGCGGCCCCGGGCAGCGCCGAACCUACCUCGGGCCGGCCGGGCGGGGGCACGGCGCUGCUGCCCCCCCCCCUCCCUUCCCUCCGCCCGCCGCCGCCGCUGCCCCGGCCUCGCCACCGCCCCGGGGCGCCAGCCAACCAGCGGCCGCCCUCCGGCUACACCCUCCGCCCGCCGCCAAUGCGGAGCGCCCGCGGCGUGGCGUCACGGCGGGCGCCGGCAACGCCUCCCCAACGCCCCCCCGGUUCCUGGAAGGAGGGCGGGGGGGGGGGGUUGGAGCACCCCCGCCUCGCUGCCCGCUGCCCGUCCCGAGGGCAGGUGGCCCUCCGCAGGCGGCUUUCCGCGCAGUUUGCUCGCUUUUCUGUAAAGCCUGCCUUUUUUCAUCCGCAGCUUCUCGUAUUUACACUGGCACAUGGGCUGUUUUUCCCUGUUUUGUAGUUAUACGUGGGUGA